GGGCGGCGCUCAGGCUGCUCAUCCUGGUCUGUCUUGUGGAGGAGCACCGGCUCUGGGUGUGCACGGCUGAGUUGCCCCAUCGCGUGUGUCAUCGAACCCCAGCCCCCUGCAUUGGGAGCAUGGAGUCUUAACCGUUGGACCACAAGGGAAGUCUCUCUUCUAAGAAUUUUACGGCUUUAGGUCUGAUGUUUAGGUCUCUGAUCCGUUUGGAGUUGUCUUUUGUGUCGUGUAAGCAAGUGUCUGACUUCAUUCACGUGGAUGUCUGGUGUGCCCAGCACUGCUGGUUGAAAAAAGGCUGUCCUUUCCCAGUGGAGUGGUGUCGGCCCCCGCCUGUCAGCCAGUCUCAUUCUCUCGUAAAUGACAGAGAUGAUGUUAAUGCUCUGACAGAAUGUUGGAAAACAGGGAGGACACUCUUUGAUUCCCCCUCCUUCUCACUAGAUGACUUGUUGCGUAAUCGUGGGCUUUAGUUUUCGUGUAUUCACUUUCUAUCUCUGUUUUUAAACAGAUAUACAGUUGACCCUUGAACAAUGUAGAAAUUGGAGGCACCAACCUCUGUCCCUGCAGCAGUCAGAAAUGUGCAUGUAACUUUACAGGCCACCCUUGGGGUGCAUGGCUCCGUAUUCUCCAUUUGCAUAGUUCUGCAGUGCGUAUUUAUUGAGAACACUGCUUAUAAGUGCACCUGUGCAGUUCGUACCUGUGCCGUCCAGGGGCAGCUGCUCCUAUUUCGUGUCUUUAGGUUGGUGCAAAAGUAAGUGCGGUUUCAGAUCAUGAAUUUUAAAUCAUUAUAAUUAGAUUCAAACACAAUCUUUAUUAAUCAAAAUAGGAACCAUUACAAUCAACACAAUUUUGCCAAUGAGAAAUAAAUUGAUUUAUUCCUGUAGUGUAAAAAUCUGUGCUUCAGGAUUUGAUAAAUUCUUGGAGAGCAUUUUCUGCGUCCUGCGGGUUAUGGGAACGUUUUCCUUGCAAAAAGUUGUUGAGAUGAUUGAAGAAGUGGCGUUUGGUGAGAGGUCAGUGAAUGUUCAAGAGGUCAGUAAAUAUUGCAGACGAGGCAAAACUUUAGCCAAAUUCAUUCAACUUUUGAAACGUUGGUUGUGCGAAAUGUGGUCGGGCGUUGUCAUGGAGAAGAAUUGGGCCCUUUCUGUUGACCAGUGCCAGCUGUGGGCGUUACAGUUUGGGUGCAUCUCAUCGAUUUGCUGAGCGUAUUUCUCAGCACUGAGAGUCAGAAAGCUGUAGUCGAUCAGAUGGGCAGCAGACCACCAAAUAGUGACCAUAACUCUUUUCGGUGCAAGUUUGGCUUUGGAAGGUGCUUUGGAGCUUCCUGGUCCAACCACUGAGCUGCUUAUCACUGGUUGUCGUAUAAAAUCCACUUUUCGUUGCAUGUCACAAUCCUAUCGAGAAAUGGUUUGUUGUUGCUGCUUAGAAUAAGAGAAGAUGACACUUCAAAAUAAUUUUUUAAAUUUUCGAUCAGCUCAUGAGGCACCCACUUAUCCAGCUUUCUCACCUUUCCAGUUUGCUUCAAAUGCCGAACGACUGUAGAAUGGUCAACGUUGAGUUCUUUGGCAACUUCUCGUGUAGUUAUAAGGGGAUCAGCUUCGAUGAUCCUCUCACUUGGUCGUUGUCAACUUCCAGUGUCUGGCCAUUACAGUCCUAAUCUUCAAGGCUGUCGUCUCCUUUGCAAAACUUUUUGAAUCACCACUGCACUGUAUGUAUGUUAGCAGUUUCUGGGCCAAAUGCGUUUUGUUGCGGCGAGUGUUCUCCACUGCUUUAAGAUCCAUUUUGAACUCAAAUAAGAAAAUCGCUCAAAUUUACGUUUUGUCUAACAUCAUUUCCAUAGUCCAAAAUAAAUGUAAACUAAACGGCAAUAAGUCAUUAGCACAAAAAACAUAAAGCGAGAAAUGCACGUUAAGAUGUUGUGUAACACAACCUCAUUUAAGAAUGUAUUCCAGUAUCAAACAGCAAAUUUCAACAAUGCAAAAACUGAAAUUGCAUUUGCACCAACCUAGUAUGAUGACUUUGCAGGCUGCACGUAAGUACGAACUUUAAGUGACUCUGCUCCCGUGGUGGAUUCUGGUGCACUGGUGGUUUUUACCAGUGAUUAAUGUUGAGCAAGUCUUUGCACAUAGGCCUGUCCUCGGGCUGAGCACUGGGUGUAGAGUUGCUGUCUGAAAGGGUCUGGGCACCUGCAGAGUUUGUGCUGUGUUUGGCAUCUAAGCCUCUUGUAGCCGUCUGUGGUAGGCAUUGUCCAUUAGGCAUAGGCUCAUCGUACGUGAACCACAGUGGAUGUUAGCGGAACUGUUAUCGCAGACAAACAUCAUUCCUCUCGUGUUAACUCCAUACAGCAAAUCUUUGCGCUCCUUCACGUGCCAGGCCUUGUUGAGCUACGGGGGUUCACUAGUGAAGAGAACCGGAGUUCCCAUCCUCAGAGAGCUGCCCUUAUUAGGGGCUAAGACAGACAAGAAACAGGGACACAUGGGCAUGUCGAGGUGUUGAAACGCCGCAGAGGAAGCACAGACAGGUACAGGGCACAGUGUCUUGGGCUGGGCAAGACCAGGGAAGGAAGGAAGGCAGGCCCGCUCAGAGCCGUGUGGGCUCCCGGGGCAUCUGAGAGGCGGGGAGAGCCGUCCAGGCAGAUUGGACAGAGCGCGCUUGUCGCUGUUGAUGGGGAACAAGAGCCCCUGUGGCUGGAGGACCAGAGGGCGGGAGGACCCAGGGCGCCAGCUAUGCCUGUCUUUUGAGCGCACCCUGAGUGAUGUGGGUUCUGAUCCAACUGUCCUGGCUGCCAUGGGGACAGGUUAGGGGAUCUGUUGGGAGGCGCUGACUGGAUCCCAGCAGGAGAGGUGGGGCCUGGAUCAGAGUGGGAGCAGUGAGGAGGGGAAAGGCACUCUAUGCUGUUUUUUUUUUAUCAAAGUGUAAUUAACGUAGAAUGUAAGUUACAGGUGUACAGUCCAGUGAUUCACGAGUUUUAAGGUCAUGCUCCAUUUACAGUUAGUAUAAACUGCUGACUGUAUUUCCGCGUCAUACAGUAUAUUCCUGUGGCUUCUUUUGUGCCUAAUAGCUUGCCCCUCCUACCCCCAGCCCAGGGUCCCUCCCUCCGCCCCUGGCGACUGCUCUGCUGGUACCUGUCUGCUUUGCUUCUUGUUAGCUGCGCCAGGUCAUUGGAUUUUGUAGACUGCACAUUCGAUUCUGGUGUACUUGUCAGCUUAACAUUUCAGUCUGGUUGGCAUGGACUAAGGAGCCCACCCUCCUGCGGCCCCAGUUGGAUCAAGACACCUGCCCUCAGAGCCAGAGCUGUGGCUGGGCAAGGCGAAGACUCUUCCCCAAGUGCCUUUUCAGGAACUCAUGAUGUCCUUCCUGGGAAAGCUUUGGGUUCAGGGUCAAAGAGCCUGAUCAUUUUGGGCUGCUCAGGCCUGGUGUUUGGCCUCCAGGGGGAGGGCGGUCACCCCGGGCCUCUGUGGAGAGGUGGCUUUGAGGGGACAGAUCUGCCCGGGGCUGGAAGGCGCCCCGCCCCGUGCCCAGAGUGUCAUGCGGUCUGUGUCUGUGUGGCGGCUGUGAUUUCACAUAUGCCCUGCUUGUGUCUCCGUAAGUGCAAAAGGGGAAACAGACCUUCGUAAGUACUUCUUACC